GACGAACGCUGGCGGCGCGCCUAACACAUGCAAGUCGAACGGAGCUUAGAGAGCUUGCUUUUUAAGCUUAGUGGCGAACGGGUGAGUAACGCGUGAGUAACCUGCCCUAGAGUGGGGGACAACAGUUGGAAACGACUGCUAAUACCGCAUAAGCCCACGGUACCGCAUGGUACUGAGGGAAAAAGGAUUUAUUCGCUUUAGGAUGGACUCGCGUCCGAUUAGCUAGUUGGUGAGGUAACGGCCCACCAAGGCGACGAUCGGUAGCCGGACUGAGAGGUUGAACGGCCACAUUGGGACUGAGACACGGCCCAGACUCCUACGGGAGGCAGCAGUGGGAAUAUUGCAACAAGUCGGGGAAACCCUGAUGCAGCGACGCCGCGUGGAGGAAG
rnacentral:rRNA from 1 species